rnacentral:rRNA from 1 species
CCCACGGGUGGCUGCAGUGGGGAAUAUUGGACAAUGGGCGAAAGCCUGAUCCAGCCAUGCCGCGUGUGUGAAGAAGGCCUUCGGGUUGUAAAGCACUUUCAGUGGGGAAGAAAGCCUUGGGGCUAAUACCCUCGAGGAAGGACAUCACCCACAGAAGAAGCACCGGCUAACUCCGUGCCAGCAGCCGCGGUAAUACGGAGGGUGCGAGCGUUAAUCGGAAUUACUGGGCGUAAAGCGCGCGUAGGCGGUCUGAUAAGCCGGUUGUGAAAGCCCCGGGCUCAACCUGGGAACGGCAUCCGGAACUGUCAGGCUAGAGUGCAGGAGAGGAAGGUAGAAUUCCCGGUGUAGCGGUGAAAUGCGUAGAGAUCGGGAGGAAUACCAGUGGCGAAGGCGGCCUUCUGGACUGACACUGACGCUGAGGUGCGAAAGCGUGGGUAGCAAACAGGAUUAGAUACCCUGGUAGUC